AGUGAACGCUGGCGGUAGGCCUAACACAUGCAAGUCGAACGGCAGCACAGUAAGAGCUUGCUCUUACGGGUGGCGAGUGGCGGACGGGUGAGGAAUACAUCGGAAUCUACUUUUUCGUGGGGGAUAACGUAGGGAAACUUACGCUAAUACCGCAUACGACCUACGGGUGAAAGCAGGGGAUCUUCGGACCUUGCGCGAUUGAAUGCGCCGAUGUCGGAUUAGCUAGUUGGCGGGGUAAAGGCCCACCAAGGCGACGAUCCGUAGCUGGUCUGAGAGGAUGAUCAGUCACACUGGAACUGAGACACGGUCCAGACUCCUACGGGAGGCAGCAGUGGGGAAUAUUGGACAAUGGGCGCAAGCCUGAUCCAGCCAUACCGCGUGGGUGAAGAAGGCCUUCGGGUUGUAAAGCCCUUUUGUUGGGAAAGAAAAGCAGCAGGUUAAUACCCCGCUGUUCUGACGGUACCCAAAGAAUAAGCACCGGCUAACUUCGUG
rnacentral:rRNA from 1 species